rnacentral:rRNA from 1 species
GACGGGGGAUGCAAGUGUUAUCCGGAAUCACUGGGCGUAAAGCGUCUGUAGGUGGUCAAAUAAGUCAACUGUUAAAUCUUGAGGCUCAACCUCAAAAUCGCAGUCGAAACUAUUCGACUAGAGUAUAGUAGGGGUAAAGGGAAUUUCCAGUGGAGCGGUGGAAUGCGUAGAGAUUGGAAAGAACACCGAUGGCGAAGGCACUCUGCUGGGCCGACACUGACACUGAGAGACGAAAGCUAGGGGAGCGAAUGGG